AGCAGUGGGGAAUUUUCCGCAAUGGGCGAAAGCCUGACGGAGCAAUGCCGCGUGGAGGUAGCGGCCCCUGGGUCAUUAACUUCUUUUCCCGGAGAAGAAAAAAUGACGGUAUCCGGGGAAUAAGCAUCGGCUAACUCUGUGCCAGCAGCCGCGGUAAGACAGAGGAUGCAAGCGUUAUCCGGAAUGAUUGGGCGUAAAGCGUCUGUAGGUGGCUUUUUAAGUUCGCUGUCAAAUCCCAGGGCUCAACCCUGGACAGGUGGUGAAAACUACUAAGCUAGAGUACGGUAGGGGCAGAGGGAAUUUCCGGUGGAGCGAUGAAAUGCGUAGAGAUCGGAAGGAACACCAACGGCCAAAGCACUCUGCUGGGCCGA
rnacentral:rRNA from 1 species